UAGAAAUGAACACCAAUAGGAUUCCAUGUUUUCUCUAGGUUAGGGUUUAGGGUUUCUCUUCUCUCUCUUUCCUCUCCUCCUCCUGUGACGACGAGACAGCGCGACGAACAAGACUCCUCUCCUCUCAGGUUUUGAACUUUUUAAUUUGUAUUUGGACCAUUAAUUUGGAGACAAGGCGCUGCUCCAUCUCAGCUAGCUCCCUUUCUCAUAUCAAUAUCAGCGAAAUUGAUGAGAACUCUGGCCGAAUAACCGAAGAGAUAGAGAAGUGCAAAGAGCAGAGUCUUGAGAAGAAAGUGGCUUAGAGGAAGUCAAAGAACAAGUUAAGAAAGCUGCUUAUGCCGUUUUAGAGAUGCUCAACAACAGAGCAUAGAAUGUAUAGGUGCUGUGUUCAGUUUAGCACUUAAUUGCAUAACAAAGCCCAUCACUUCUCUGGGUUGAUGUGUUUGUGAGAAUACAAUUUCGGUCUUAAUAUCUCUCCAGCUCUUCUCGUGUUCCUCAACCGUUUCUCAGUUCAUACAGUGAAUUUCAGUCUCGAGAUUAAUGGCCAACAAGAAACUGGCAUCAAAAAAGAAGAAGUCGAGAAACAAAUCAACUCGUGCCAAUCCUUUAUCAGCCCAACAAGGGUCAUCCUCAUCUGCAGAGACAGCUGCUGCUUAUGUGGCAAGUCCAUCAGUGACCAACACCACUGCUGCUCCAGCACCUGCACAACGAUUGUAUGCUCGAUGUCUCUUAAAAGAGUACUUGAAGAACUAUUAUCAAUGGGAUGAGGAGCAGUUCAAGCGUGGGGGUCAAAACAUUCUUGGAAGUCUCGCGGGGAAAGUUGCUUAUUUGGGGUCAAAAGGCAUCACACAUGGACGCUUGACUUGUGAAAAUAUCUUCGUAAUUGGCAAUGGGGCUGAGAAUCUGGAGGUUGAGAUUAAGGAUAUCCCAUGUAGAUACAACCCAGCCAUGCCAAGCUAUCGUGAACAAUUUCUUACAUUGGCACUUCUGCUGGUUGAUACAUGGAAAGCUACUUGUCCCUUGUUGUUAAAGCAUUUUUGCAAUAUGAUGGAAUAUUGCAUACCUUGGUAAGCAAGCUCCUGAUAACUUAUUUUAUUCCUAUAGGGUCAUGCAUUAAGGCGGCAAAUUCACACACCCACAGAUGAAAUAAUACAACCUAAAAAGAAAUGCAGACGUAGUUCAACUUAAACAUGUUCAAUAUAAAAACCCAAAUGGAGUUCUCUGUAGUUAUGAGGAUUGAGUGUUAUUUGGGUUCACCUAACGUACUAAAACACUUUCCCAAGAAGAGGACGAACCUGCUUUCAAUCAGGCACACGAAAUAUGUAGUGUGAAUUACUUGGAAAGCCAAUAUUCUCAUCUCUUACUCUCUUUCAUUAAGUGCAGGUUCUGUUUUAAGCAACUGCAGUGGCAUCCCCUACUAUUAUCGUCUGACGAAGUAGCCGCGGUUAUAUACCGUCUCUAUACACAUCUUAACAUUGAGAGAAAAGGUUGGAAAAAGGAUUACAAAAAGCUUAUAGGGAGAGAAAAGGUUGACUUUGGUGAAAUCAUUGGUGACAUCAUUUCUGGAACUUCUCGUGGUGCCUUUGCUUUCGCUAAGGUUUACAGUUAUCCAGGAGUCGUAUAUGAGCCAAAUGCGCUAGGAGCACUCGUGUUUUUCAGACAUGUACUCAAGCAUGUUAAUGAGCAUAUCCAGGAGGACCUCGAGAAGGAAAAUGCGAAACAAGAGGAAAUAGAGGAUGCACUUCUGACAAGAGAGGAAACAGUGAAUACGCUCGUGCACUUCUUCCCAAAAGUGCCCCUAGAGUUAUUCAAUUACAUGCUUUAUAAGCGCAUUGACAUAAAUACUACAAUUACAUAGAGAGCUUCAAAUCCGGUAAACAUAUUAUUUUGUAUUCUCCGAAUUCAUACUUUAAAUCCAAUGUCACAAACACAUACAAUAGAGCUUCAACUUUUGGACCUGUAGACUGUUAAGAAAUCUAUCAGCUUAAGACUUUAUUUAGUUGAGUGGUUUACU